rnacentral:lncRNA from 1 species
UUUGUGCGGUGGUCGGUCCGGCUGCUCUCGUGCCGUGGUGCUGUGGCGGCUCGAUGCGGCGCCCACUCUCCUACACCGGGGCCCUGCUGGGGAGGGGGCGGCAGCCUCGGGUUGAGCAGGAUGAGCUGCCCUUACAGACUAGAGUUUCUGAUGUGCCCGUGACGGCGCUUUUGGGAGCUGACCCAUCCCAGGGCGGAGGGGGGCGUUAGGCUGCCGUCGCCCACCCCCCGCUGACCUUUGGUGUCCUCCCAGACCCCUGGUCCUCGCAGGCCGAUCCGCAGCGCUACCAGGGUGCUUGAAGAUUUCCGCCGCUGUUACCCUUGGUUCAAGCUUGAUUAUUCUGGAAGCCUACCUGGGGCGGUGCCCUUUCAAAGGUUAGGUACUAAUCAGAUACUGAAGGGCUGAAGUUUGUAAUUCAUCCUCUUGGAUCAGUGCUAUUGAAAUGACUGUACCCUUGGAAUGGCUCCUGCCACUCGAACCUGCAGUGCAGUCUGUGAAGAGUCACGUCCUUUUUCCUUGGCUGCUAUGAUUUUGUUUAUUCAUGAGAGACCCGCAGAGAGAGGCAGUCUCCAUGCAGGAAGCCCGAUGCAGGACUCCAUCCUGGGACUCUGGAGUCACGGCCUGAGCCAAAGGCAGACGCUCAACUGCUGAGCCAACCAGGCGUCCCAUAAUGUGGGUCUUCAACCCAUGACCCUGAGAUGGAGUCACAUGCCUUACUGAGAGCCAGUCGAGUGGUGACACCACUAAGGACUUUUGUGUACAUAAACUCUUAUACAUACAUGUGAGUUUGAAUAGUCUCCUUUCCUUACAUAUCCAAAUCAUGCUGGUGUUACCUUAAAAAUAACACCAAAAUCUGACUCCUCUCAUACCUCCACUACCAUCCCACUCUGGUAGGAGCUAUCACCAGCUCACCUAUAUGACUGCAGCAAAACCCAGCUGGUCUCCUGGCUUCCACCCUUACCCCAUUACAGGCAUAUCCACACAGCAGCCAGAAAUUUCUCUCCAAAUCAUGACUUGAGACUUGUCUCUCGCUUGGCUCAGUAUCCUGCAAGGGCUCAUAUUUCACUGAGAGGGAAACCCAGAGUCUUCACAGAGACCACCCAACAAGGUCCUCCCAAGUCUAGCUGUGUUGUCUCUGACCUCAUCUACUCUCCACUCUGCCUCAGCCACAGAGCAUGAAGCCAGGAGCUUGUGGCCAUUCUCCUGUCAAUGUUCAGGGGGUAAAGAUUUUGCUUGAUGGCUGGGGUCCCAACCACAUGCCUUGGUCUGUAGGGUAGACAGAAAUUUGUGUCAACAGAGCUUGUGGAUGUAAUUUGGCUGGUGAGGAAAUACUAGAGUGGAGAAAUAAAAACUAUCCUGGACAUUGUUUGUGGACUGUAACUUUAUGCAUUUGGAAAACAAUUUGGCAAUACCUCUGAAGUAUGCACAUUCUCUUCAACCCAGUGCUUCCACUUCUGGAAUACACCCUAAAUACACCCUGACCAAACUUGCAUGCGUUAUGUAAUGUAUGUUGUAGAUUAUGUAGACAAAAGUCCUUCGUAAUGAGUUUUCGGUAAUGGGUAAUCUCAAGGGGGGAGGGAGAGGAAACAAAUGUUGUCCAACAAUUAAAUGGACAAAUUGUGGUAUAUUCAUAAAAUCUAAGACUGUAGAGCAGUGAUGUGUUACAUGCAGUGGUGGUAUGACUAAUGUGCCAGCAUGUAUUAAUCUCACAAAC